rnacentral:rRNA from 1 species
GUGAGGAAUCUUCCACAAUGGGCGAAAGCCUGAUGGAGCAACGCCGCGUGAAGGAUGAAGGUCUUCGGAUUGUAAACUUCUUUUAUGAGUGAAGAAUAUGACGGUAACUCAUGAAUAAGCACCGGCUAACUACGUGCCAGCAGCCGCGGUCAUACGUAGGGUGCAAGCAUUAUCCGGAGUGACUGGGAGUAAAGAGUUGCGUAGGCGGUUAUGUAAGCGAAUAGUGAAACCUGGUGGCUCAACCACACAGACUAUUAUUCGAACUGCAUAACUCGAGAAUGGUAGAGGUAACUGGAAUUUCUUGUGUAGGAGUGAAAUCCGUAGAUAUAAGAAGGAACACCAAUGGCGUAGGCAGGUUACUGGGCCAUUUCUGACGCUAAGGCACGAAAGCGUGGGGAGCGAACCGGAUUAGAAACCCUUGUAGUCC